AACGUAGGAGGCAAGCGUUAUCCGGAGUUACUGGGCGUAAAGAGUGCGUAGGCGGACGUGUAAGUGGGUGGUGAAAGCGCCCGGCUAAACCGGGCGAGGUCCAUUCAGACUGCAGGUCUAGAGGCGGAUAGAGGGGUGCGGAAUUCCGGGUGUAGCGGUGAAAUGUGUAGAGAUCCGGAGGAACACCAGUGGUGCAGACGGCGCCCUGGGUCCGAACUGACGCUGAAGCACGAAAGCGUGGGGAGCGAACGGG
rnacentral:rRNA from 1 species